GCCGGGCGCGGUGGCUCACGCCUGUAAUCCCAGCACUUUGGGAGGCCGAGAUGAGUGGAUCACCUGAGGUCAGGAGUUCCAGACCAGCCUGACCAACAUGGUGAAACCCCAUCUCUA
rfam:Pan troglodytes isolate Yerkes chimp pedigree #C0471 (Clint) chromosome 12, whole genome shotgun sequence.